GCAGCCGCCGCGGUAAUACGGAGGAUCCAAGCGUUAUCCGGAAUCAUUGGGUUUAAAGGGUCCGUAGGCGGUCUUGUAAGUCAGUGGUGAAAGCCCAUCGCUCAACGGUGGAACGGCCAUUGAUACUGCAGGACUUGAAUUAUUGGGAAGUAACUAGAAUAUGUAGUGUAGCGGUGAAAUGCUUAGAGAUUACAUGGAAUACCAAUUGCGAAGGCAGGUUACUACCAAUUGAUUGACGCUGAUGGACGAAAGCGUGGGUAGCGAACAGGAUUAGAUACCCCGGUAGUCCCUGUCUCUUAUAC
rnacentral:rRNA from 1 species